UGCGUAGGUGGUGGGGUAAGUCGGAUGUGAAAUCUCGGAGCUCAACUCCGAAAUGGCAUUGGAAACUACCCCGCUGGAGGUUUGGAGGGGGGACUGGAAUACUUGGUGUAGCAGUGAAAUGCGUAGAUAUCAAGUGGAACACCAGUGGCGAAGGCGAGUCCCUGGACAAAACCUGACACUGAGGCACGAAAGCUAGGGGAGCAAACA
rnacentral:rRNA from 1 species